AAGAUUUUAAGUUAAAUAAACUAAGAGUUUUCAAAGCUUUAAAUAAAGGUAAAGUUCCUUUAAAUCUUG
rnacentral:tRNA from 1 species